UACACACCGCCCGUCACAUCACGAAAGCCAGUUAUACUAGAAGCCGGUGACUUAACCGCAAGGAAAUAGCCGUCCAAGGUAUGACUGGUGAUUGGGGUG
rnacentral:rRNA from 1 species